rnacentral:rRNA from 1 species
AGUGAACGCUGGCGGUAGGCCUAACACAUGCAAGUCGAACGGCAGCACAGGAGAGCUUGCUCUCUGGGUGGCGAGUGGCGGACGGGUGAGGAAUACAUCGGAAUCUACUUUUUCGUGGGGGAUAACGUAGGGAAACUUACGCUAAUACCGCAUACGACCUACGGGUGAAAGCAGGGGACCUUCGGGCCUUGCGCGAUUGAAUGAGCCGAUGUCGGAUUAGCUAGUUGGCGGGGUAAAGGCCCACCAAGGCGACGAUCCGUAGCUGGUCUGAGAGGAUGAUCAGCCACACUGGAACUGAAACACGGGCCAGGCUCCUACGGGAGGCAGCAGUGGGGAAUAUUGGACAAUGGGCGCAAGCCUGAUCCAGCCAUACCGCGUGGGUGAAGAAGGCCUUCGGGUUGUAAAGCCCUUUUGUUGGGAAAGAAAUCCAGCUGGCUAAUACCCGGUUGGGAUGACGGUACCCAAAGAAUAAGCACCGGCUAACUUCGUGCCAGCAGCCGCUGUAA